UACCCUUGUAUAUAUCCUUCCAUUGAGUCCUUGUACAGUCCCAUCCUUGUGUGUGUUUAAGAGUCCUAUACAUAAGUGUACUUUCAGAGUUCUGUAGUCGGAGAGAAGCAAGCUUCUGUAAGCUAUCUCCCACCUGUGUAAAUACAGUUCGUCCUUUUGUUUCUUCAUAUUGUAAGUUCUUUAUGUUCGUGUGUUUCCAUCGGUAUAUAUCCAUGCAUA
rnacentral:lncRNA from 1 species